GAAUUUAUCUUAACAGAGAAAUGACAGAUGUGUGUUGGUACUAAGUACACAUGGAUAUGCUACUUGGUUCAAGAUCUGGGUGAAUCCAUUGCUCUGAAUUCAUGCAAAACUCUCAAGGCUCACCAGCGUAAUGCGUGCCGUUAUAGAAUGAGGUCUAUAAAUACCGAUGGAUUACUUGUGAUCGAUUGAGACA
rnacentral:lncRNA from 1 species